UACAGAGGUCCCAAGCGUUGUUCGGAUUCACUGGGCGUAAAGGGUGCGUAGGCGGUCGGGUAAGUCUGAUGUGAAAUCUCACAGCUUAACUGUGAAACUGCAUUGGAUACUAUCCGGCUCGAGGAAUGGAGGGGAGACUGGAAUACUUGGUGUAGCAGUGAAAUGCGUAGAUAUCGGGAGGAACACCAGUGGCGAAGGCGGCGAUCUGGGUCGAUACUGACGCUGAGGUGCGAAAGCGUGGGGAGCAAACAGG
rnacentral:rRNA from 1 species